GCGGGGGUGCCCGAGCUCGGUCAAAGGGGGCGGGCUCAAGACCCGCUGGCGUAGGCCUGCGUGGGUUCGAAUCCCACCCCCCGCACCA
rnacentral:tRNA from 1 species